rnacentral:rRNA from 1 species
GAUGAACGCUAGCUAUAGGCUUAACACAUGCAAGUCGAGGGGAAACGGCAUUAUGUGCUUGCACAUUUUGGACGUCGACCGGCGCACGGGUGAGUAUCGCGUAUCCAACCUGCCCUUUACUUGGGGAUACCCCGUUGAAAGACGGCCUAAUACCCGAUGUAAUUCAUUGAUGGCAUCAGAUAUGAAUAAAAGAUUUAUCGGUAAAGGAUGGGGAUGCGUCUGAUUAGCUUGUUGGUGAGGUAACGGCUCACCAAGGCGACGAUCAGUAGGGGUUCUGAGAGGAAGGUCCCCCACAUUGGAAACUAGACACCGGCCAAAAGACUACGGGAGGCAGCAGUGAGGAAUAUUGGUCAAUGGGCGCAAGCCUGAACCAGCCAAGUAGCGUGCAGGAAGACGGCCCUAUGGGUUGUAAACUGCUUUUAUACGAGAAUAAUUUGAUGCACGUGUGCGUUAUUGCAUGUAUCGUAUGAAUAAGGACCGGCUAAUUCCGUG